rnacentral:rRNA from 1 species
UACGGAGGGUGCAAACGUUGCUCGGAAUCAUUGGGCGUAAAGAGCGCGUAGGCGGUCCGAUAAGUCGGUUGUGAAAACUGGGGGCUCAACCCUCAGAGGCCGACCGAUACUGUCGGGCUAGAGUCCGGAAGAGGCGAGUGGAAUUCCUGGUGUAGCGGUGAAAUGCGCAGAUAUCAGGAGGAACACCAAUGGCGAAGGCAGCUCGCUGGGACGGUACUGACGCUGAGGCGCGAAAGCGUGGGGGAGCAAACAGG